rnacentral:lncRNA from 1 species
UUAGAAAAGACACAUAAAAAUAAAUUUAUAUUUUUUUAUUUUUCCAUAUACCGAAAUAUAUAUUUUGUUGUUCUUGUGAAUAAGGUAAAUGUAGAACUACGUGAAUCUCAAUCUUUUUUCUUUUAAAUUUAAUUUAUAACACUCAAUUUAUUUUUACUUAAGCAUAUCUGUGUUUCUAGCGGAAGCUUAAGCUGCAUUGAAAAGGAAGAAGAAUAAGAACGAAAAAAUAGAUACAAAAAGAUUACAAUUCUUUGAUAAA